GCUGAGCGUUGUAAUCUAGAGAAGUGUUUUCGGUCGCUGCCCCGGAAAAGUCCCUUGGAACAGGGCGUCAUAGAGGGUGAGAAUCCCGUCUUUGCCGGACUAACAGCGUCUAUGUGAUACACUCUCGAAGAGUCGAGUUGUUUGGGAAUGCAGCUCAAAAUGGGUGGUAAAUUCCAUCUAAAGCUAAAUAUUGGUGGGAGACCGAUAGCGAACAAGUACCGUGAGGGAAAGAUGAAA
rnacentral:rRNA from 1 species